rnacentral:rRNA from 1 species
UACGGAGGGGGUUAGCGUUGUUCGGAAUGACUGGGCGUAAAGCGCGCGUAGGCGGAUCGGAAAGUUGGGGGUGAAAUCCCGGGGCCCAACCCCGGAAUGGCCUUCAAGACUCCUGGUCUUGAGUUCGAGAGAGGUGAGUGGAAUUCCGAGUGUAGAGGUGAAAUUCGUAGAUAUUCGGAGGAACUCCAGUGGCGAAGGCGGCUCACUGGCUCGACACUGACGCUGAGGUGCGAAAGCGUGGGGAGCAAACAGG